UUUUGGACAUGGGGGCAACCCUGNUCCAGCCAUGCCGCGUGAGUGAAGAAGGCCUUCGGGUUGUAAAGCUCUUUCGGACGGAACGAAAUGGUUACGGUGAAUAUCCGUGACUGAUGACGGUACCGUAAUAAGAAGCACCGGCUAACUACGUGCCAGCAGCCGCGGUAAUACUGUAGGGUGCGAGCGUUAAUCGGAAUUACUGGGCGUAAAGCGUGCGCAGGCGGUUCGCCAAGUCAGGUGUGAAAUCCCCGGGCUUAACCUGGGAAUUGCGCUUGAAACUAGCGGGCUUGAGUGUGGCAGAGGGGGGUGGAAUUCCACGUGUAGCAGUGAAAUGCGUAGAGAUGUGGAGGAACACCGAUGGCGAAGGCAGCCCCCUGGGUCAACACUGACGCUCAUGCACGAAAGCGUGGGGAGCAAACAGGAUUAGAUACCCUGGUAGUCCACGCCCUAAACGAUGUCGACUAGGUGUUGGGGAGGGAGACUUCCUUAGUACCGCAGCUAACGCGUGAAGUCGACCGCCUGGGGAGUACGGUCGCAAGAUUAAAACUCAAAGAAAUUGACGGA
rnacentral:rRNA from 1 species